UGGUGUGAGUGAGUGUUGCAGUGGAUCCCAAAGGUGCGGCAGCUGGAGGCUUGUGCUCCCGGAGGGAAAUCUGAGCAGGGCUCUCUUCCACAGCUGCCAUACCUCCUUUACCUGGAACCUGGAGAUGCUCCUUGCAAUGAAUGAUCCAGAGCAGCUUAUAGCCAAAGGGAAGGCUGACUCUGGAACUCAAGCCUUCUCACUCAAAGGCCAGUAGUCUUUGUUUCUGGUGAGGGCCAGAUGAAUGAAGCAUAAAUAGUUUGUCCUGUUUUAUCAGUAGCUGUCACAAGGCAUCAUUUCUUUGGCAGCAGAUCUUAGCACAGUUUAUAUAUUUAAUAUUUAACAUAUAUCAGUAACCUAUGACUCAAGCUGAUCACAGACUCAAAUAUAAUGUACCUCGUGGAUGAGCAAGAAGUAAAAAGAGUGUAAGCAUUUCAUCUUGGCCGGGAAAUAGAUAUGAAUGUUCAUGGAAGAACGAACAAAGGAAGAGGCUUGCAGUUGGGUCAAUUAAUUCUCUCUCUGGAAUUCUGAACUGAGAUUCACAGAGAAGCUGUUGUGAAGGAGCCAUGGAUAGCUGGAGGUCUUCCUAGUUAAAGCCUGGACUGAAAACAAGUAAGAAGCACUUUUUGGGUUCAUUCAGUUUUGAGGUAACA
rnacentral:lncRNA from 1 species